GACGAACGCUGGCGGCGUGCUUAACACAUGCAAGUCGAACGGAAAGGCCCUGCUUUUGUGGGGUGCUCGAGUGGCGAACGGGUGAGUAACACGUGAGUAACCUGCCCUUGACUUUGGGAUAACUUCAGGAAACUGGGGCUAAUACCGGAUAGGAGCUCCUGCUGCAUGGUGGGGGUUGGAAAGUUUCGGCGGUUGGGGAUGGACUCGCGGCUUAUCAGCUUGUUGGCGGGGUAGUGGCUUACCAAGGCUUUGACGGGUAGCCGGCCUGAGAGGGUGACCGGCCACAUUGGGACUGAGAUACGGCCCAGACUCCUACGGGAGGCAGCAGUGGGGAAUAUUGCACAAUGGGCGGAAGCCUGAUGCAACAACGCCGCGUGCGGGAUGACGGCCUUCGGGUUGUAAACCGCUUUCGCCUGUGACGAAGCGUGAGUGACGGUAAUGGGUAAAGAAGCACCGGCUAACUACGUG
rnacentral:rRNA from 1 species